CCCAAGGUACAAUCAACACAAAAGUACCCCAUAGGGCUCAUUAUUGGACCUCAAGGUACAUGUAUGUACCUUUUUGAGGGUCAAAAAGGUACAUAUUUGUUCCCAAGCAUUAAAAGGUACAUAUUUGUACCAUUUCUUUUAAAGGAUAAGGUACCAUGUUAAGAGACCGCCUCUUGCCAUUUUUUUUUAUUUGUUGUUCUAGACAACUGCUGUAAAUCUGGUCAGUAACGUAAAUAACUAUUGUGUCAAUUUUUGUUUCCUUUAGUUGAAAACAUGGGUAUUGAAGUAGUAUUAGUUUUCUUCUGUUCAUUGACAGUGUGUUUAAUUUUAAAUUUAAAUUUUAAUGAAAAAAAGUUAAUUUCACUUAAUAAAAACUGUGAUAUGAACUCAAAAACUGCAAUUGAUUAACCAUUAUUUAAACUGAAUAAAUACUGAAUAACUGAAUCCCUCACACACACCGAAAAAAAACCUGCGCUUUUAUUUUGACACGCGCCCAUCCCCCCACAUCUCACGGUCGGAGUCAGUUUCACAGAGCAGCGCAGGAGGACGACAAACACAUAAAGAACAUUAACAGUUUAGUUUGAAUCUCUCUCAGUCAGUCAGGGGGAGAUUAACUGACAGACUGUAUAACGUUACACGUCUUACCAAGAAACCUUUUUAGGUUUGAAUCUCUCAGUCAGGGGGGAGAUUGACUGUCAAUCUGUACACUGUCUACUCGCCACCAAACAGUCAGUUACAC